AUUGAACGCUGGCGGCAGGCCUAACACAUGCAAGUCGAACGAGUCGCGGACGGGUGUGUAAUGUCUGGGAAACUGCCUGAUGGAGGGGGAUAACUACUGGAAACGGUAGCUAAUACCGCAUACCAUCGGAUGUGCCCAGAUGGGAUUGGCUAGUAGUUGGGGUAAAGGGGAACCUAGGCGACGAUCCCUAGCUGGUCUGAGAGGUUGACCAGCCACACUGGAGCGGAGACACGGUCCGAAAUCCUACGGGAGGCAGAAGUGGGGAAUAUGGGACAAUGGGCGCAAGCCUGAUGCAGCCAGGCCGCGUGGAUGAAGAAGGCCUUCGGGUUGUAAAGUACUUUCAGCGGGGAGGCGUUACCCGCAGAAGAAGCACCGGCUGACUCCGUGCCAGCCGCCGCGGUAAUAC
rnacentral:rRNA from 1 species